AGACGUUUGGUUGUGCCCUGUGAACAUCUCCGUACACUGGAUUCUUGUAAUAAUCAAAAUCCCAAUGAGGACGCUGAUCCUGAAAGAUCCCAUUGGAAAUGAGGACUAUUAUAAGCGGCAAAUUCUUCGCAACUGGAGAAACUUUCUAAAAGAAGACGGAAAGGUCAGAGGAGUCACAGCAAAUAAAGACCCUGGAACAUCAUAAACAGCAG